UCCACCCGUCUUGGCCUCCCAAAGUGCUGGGAUUACAGGCAUGAGCCACCGCACCCAUCAGUGAUAUUGUUUUAGUCAAGAAAAUAUUGACUACAAAUAGCUAUUCUGAAUAUAAGGAUAUCAGAAGAAUAAUUCAUGUGAAUCCAAACAUUUUCCAUCCCCCUAAAAACUCUUAUCAGUGUGACUCAUUUGGAAAUUGUUUGAAGUAUAAUUUACAUUUACAUAUUCUUAAUAGAAAUGAUGCUUCAAAAAAUGUUAGGAAGAGUACUAAGUAUGGUAAAAUGUCUUUCUAUAUUUACUGUGAAUGUACUCCAACAGGAGAGAAAUUAUGGGACCAUAAUAAUCUACGUAGAAAAAUUCUCAGUUAUAAACCAGCCUCCUCGCAAGAUCAAAAAAUUUAUCCUGGGGAAAAAUCCUAUGAGUGUGCCAAAUUUGAAAAGAUAUUCACCCAGAAGUCACAAUUCAAGGUACACCCGAAGGUUCCUUCAGGAGAAAAACUCUAUGUAUGUACUGAAUGCGGGAGGGCUUUUGUGCAGAAGCCAGACUUCAUUACACAUCAGAAAACCCAUACGAGAGAGAAGCCCUAUAAGUGCAAUGCAUGUGGAAAAUCCUUUUUUCAAGUAUCAUCUCUUUUCAGGCAUCAGAGAAUUCAUACCGGAGAAAAACUCUAUGAAUGUAGUGAAUGUGGGAAAGGCUUCCCUUAUAACUCAGAUCUCAGCAUACAUGAGAAAAUUCAUACUGGAGAGAGACACCAUGAAUGCACUGAAUGUGGCAAAGCAUUCACACAAAAGUCCACACUCAAGAUGCAUCAGAAAAUCCAUACAGGUGAGAGAUCCUAUAUCUGUAUUGAAUGCGGACAGGCCUUCAUUCAGAAGACACAAUUGAUUGCACACCGAAGAAUUCAUACUGGAGAAAAGCCAUAUGAGUGUAGUAACUGUGGGAAAUCCUUCAUUUCCAAGUCACAACUUCAGGUACAUCAACGCAUUCACACAAGAGUAAAACCCUAUAUAUGUACUGAAUAUGGGAAGGUCUUUAGCAAUAAUUCCAACCUCAUUACACAUGAGAAAAUUCAAAGUAGAGAGAAAUCUUCCAUAUGUACUGACUGUGGGAAGGCCUUUACCUACAGGUCAGAGUUGAUUAUACAUCAGAGAAUUCACACUGGAGAGAAACCUUAUAAAUGCAGUGACUGUGGAAAAGCCUUCACUCAGAAAUCAACACUCACAGUGCAUCAGAGAAUUCAUACAGGAGAAAAAUCAUAUGUAUGCACCAAAUGUGGACUGGCCUUCAUCCGGAAGGCACACUUGAUUACACAUCAAAUAAUUCAUACUGGAGAGAAACCUUAUAAAUGUGGUUACUGUGGGAAAUUGUUUACCUCCAAGUCACAACUCCAUGUUCACAAACGAAUUCACACGGGAGAAAAGCCCUAUGUAUGCAAUAAAUGUGGGAAGGCAUUCACCAACCAGUCAAAUCUCAUUACACAUCAGAAAACUCAUACAGGGGAGAAAUCUUAUCUAUGUUCCAAAUGUGGAAAGGCCUUCACCCAGAGGUCAGACUUGAUUACACAUCAGAGAAUCCAUACUGGGGAGAAACCUUAUGAAUGCAGUACUUGUGGAAAAGCCUUUACCCAGAAGUCAAAUCUUAAUAUACACCAGAAAAUUCAUACUGGAGAGAGACAGUAUGAAUGCCAUGAAUGUGGGAAAGCCUUCAACCAGAAAUCAGUCCUCAUUGUUCAUCAGAAAAUUCACACGGGAGAGAAACCCUACGUAUGCACUGAGUGUGGAAGAGCUUUCAACCGCAAGUCAAACUUUAUUACUCAUCAAAGAAUUCAUACUGGAGAGAAGCCUUAUGAAUGCAGUGACUGUGGGAAGUCCUUUACCUCCAAGUCUCAGCUCCUGGUGCAUCAGCCAGUUCACACAGGAGAGAAACCCUAUGUGUGUGCUGAGUGUGGGAAGGCCUUUAGUGGCAGGUCAAAUCUCAGUAAGCACCAGAAAACUCAUACCGGAGAAAAGCCCUACAUUUGCUCUGAAUGUGGGAAGACCUUCAGACAGAAGUCAGAGUUGAUUACACAUCACAGAAUUCAUACUGGAGAGAAACCUUAUGAGUGCAGUGACUGUGGGAAGUCUUUCACUAAAAAGUCACAGCUCCAGGUGCAUCAACGAAUUCACACUGGAGAGAAGCCUUAUGUGUGUGCUGAGUGUGGGAAGGCCUUUAGCAACAGGUCGAAUUUGAAUAAACACCAGACCACACACACUGGAAACAAACCCUACAAGUGUGGCAUCUGUGGGAAAGGGUUUGUUCAGAAAUCGGUGCUCAGUGUCCAUCAGAGCAUUCACGCUUGAGAGAAACAGUGUGAGAAAACCCCGCUGAGGGAUGGGUCUGAUCGUACAUUGUUACAUUCAUGCAGCAGAAAAAUGUAUACUAUCAUAAGUAGGAAUGACCACAUCAGCAUGUCACAUAACACUGUUCUGGAGAGAGUCUCUCUGAAGGCACUCAAUGAGGCAAGUGACCCUUCCAGCCUUGUCAUCAGCCUCAAUAAAUCUUGGGGCAUUAUUCAUACUGAGAAGGAACUCAGUCAGUUUGGUGAAUAGGAAAAGCCUUCUCAUCUAAUGAAAACUACAAUGGAACACUUACCAAAUUCUUCAUAGAAAAGAUUAUAUUAUGGGAACGAUAAUCCUGUGUACUGUGGAUGGGGUAUAGUGCCAACAGUUUGAAUGGUAAGACAACAUAAUAUAUAAGAUAGCGA